GACCUUGUGGCGCAACGGUAGCGCGUCUCACUCCAGAUCAGAAGGUUGUGUGUUCAAAUCACAUCAGGUUCA
rnacentral:tRNA from 1 species